UCUCCGUUGGUGAACCAGCGGAGGGGUCAUUACAGAGUUGCAAAACUCCCAAACCAUUGUGAACGUUACCUAUCCCGUUGCUUCGGCGGGCGGCCCGGGCCCCGCGCCCGGCGCCCCCCGGCCCCCCGUGGGCGCCCGCCGGAGGUAAACCAAACCCUUGAAUUGCAUGGCCUCUCUGAGUCUUCUGUACUGAAUAAGUCAAAACUUUCAACAACGGAUCUCUUGGUUCUG
rnacentral:misc_RNA from 1 species